CCGCCCAAAGGAACAGUUGGUUUUUUGAAGCAACGGAAGACCUUACCAGGGCUUGACAUCCCGUGACCCUCCUAGAGAUAGGAGCUCUCUUCGGAGCAGCGGUGACAGGUGGUGCAUGGUUGUCGUCAGCUCGUGUCGUGAGAUGUUGGGUUAAGUCCCGCAACGAGCGCAACCCUUGUCCUUAGUUGCCAGCAUUUGGUUGGGCACUCUAGGGAGACUGCCGUCGACAAGACGGAGGAAGGUGGGGAUGACGUCAAAUCAUCAUGCCCCUUAUGUCCUGGGCUACACACGUGCUACAAUGGAUGGAACAACGGGCAGCCAACUCGCGAGAGUGCGCGAAUCCCUUAAAACCAUUCUCAGUUCUGAUCCUCAGGCUGCAACUCGCCUGCAUGAAGCCGGAAUCGCUAGUAAUCGCGGAUCAGCAUGCCGCGGUGAAUACGUUCCCGGGUCUUGUACACACCGCCCGUCACACCACGAGAGUUUGCAACACCCGAAGUCGGUGAGGUAACCGCAAGGAGCCAGCCGCCGAAGGUGGGCAGAUGAUUGGGGG
rnacentral:rRNA from 1 species